rnacentral:rRNA from 2 species
GCGGCGCGCUUAACACAUGCAAGUCGAGCGAUGAAAUUUUAACAGAUCCUUUCGGGGAGAAGAUAAGAUGGAUUAGCGGCGGACGGGUGAGUAACACGUGAGUAACCUGCCUUUGACACAGGGAUAGCCUCGGGAAACCGGGAUUAAUACCAGAUAACAUUAUCAGAUCGCAUGAGAAGAUAAUCAAAGCUGAGGCGGUCAAAGAUGGACUCGCGUCCCAUUAGCUAGUUGGUAGAGUAAUAGCCUACCAAGGCAACGAUGGGUAGCCGGCCUGAGAGGGUGAACGGCCACAUUGGAACUGAGAAACGGUCCAAACUCCUACGGGAGGCAGCAGUGGGGAAUAUUGCACAAUGGGGGAAACCCUGAUGCAGCGACGCCGCGUGAGCGAAGAAGGUUUUCGAAUCGUAAAGCUCUGUCCUAUGGGAAGAUAAUGACGGUACCAUAGGAGGAAGCCCCGGCUAACUACGUGCCAGCAGCCGCGGUAA